GAAAUGCUAUAAGUAAUGUGAAUUGCAGAAUUCAGUGAAUCAUCGAAUCUUUGAACGCACAUUGCGCCCGCCAGUAUUCUGGCGGGCAUGCCUGUUCGAGCGUCAUUUCAACCAUCAAGCCCCCGGGCUUGUGUUGGGGACCUGCGGCUGCCGCAGGCCCCGAAAACCAGUGGCGGGCUCGCUGUCACACCGGGCGUAGUAGAUUUUUCGUCUCGCCCAGGGCGUGCUGCGGGUUCCGGCCGUUAAAAAGCCUCUCUUUUAACCCAAGGUUGACCUCGGAUCAGGUAGGAAGACCCGCUGAACUUAAGC
rnacentral:misc_RNA from 1 species